rnacentral:tRNA from 2 species
GCACACGUGGUGGAAUUGGUAGACACGCUACUUUGAGGUGGUAGUUUCUGUAAGGAUGUGCAAGUUCGAGUCUUGUCGUGUGUA